UCUCAUUUUUUUAAUUUUGGCAAAACAAAAUGUCUGGAGACAGGAAUGGAUCAAAUUUGUUAUUUGGGUGGUUUACCUGUUAUACGCAUGUGCAUUAGCACUAAAGGCAGGUUCUCAAUAUGACACAUGCAUGUCCAUCACAACUGGAAAUGCUGUAUGAACCAAUGGGAGCAUAUGUCAAAGCGUCAGAUUAGAAAACAUUUCUAUUCUGAUGCAUUGAUGAAUACUCCCAUUGGUUUAUACAGUACUUCCGGUCAUGACGCUAGCGCAUGAAAAGCAAUGCGUUAUAUUGAGAACCCACCUUAAUAUAAGCUAAUAAUUGCCCUUAUUGACUGCCUUUAAUUAAGUGCUUUUCAUGUUACAUGUAGGUUCUAGGUCCAGUUAUUGCAAUAUAAAGUAAUACAAUGGAAUACUUUCAAAAAAGGUGUUACAGUACUUACAGUACAUUUACAAUUUAU